GACGAACGCUGGCGGCGUGCUUAACACAUGCAAGUCGAACGGAAAGGCCCUGCUUUUGUGGGGUGCUCGAGUGGCGAACGGGUGAGUAACACGUGAGUAACCUGCCCUUGACUUUGGGGUAACUUCAGGAAACUGGGGCUAAUACCGGAUAUGCGCUCCUGCUGCAUGGUGGGGGUUGGAAAGUUUCGGCGGUUGGGGAUGGACUCGCGGCUUAUCAGCUUGUUGGUGGGGUAGUGGCUUACCAAGGCGUUGACGGGUUGCCGGCAUGAGAGGGUGAACGGCGACCUUGGGACUGCGGUACGGAGCAGACUCCUACGGGAGGCAGCAGUGGGGAGUAUUGCACAACGAGCGGAAGCGUGAUGAAGCAACGCCGCGUGCGGGAUGACGGCCUUCGGGUUGUAAACCGCUUGCGCCUGUGACGAAGCGUGAGUGACGGUAAUGGGUAAAGAAGCACCGGCUAACUACGUG
rnacentral:rRNA from 1 species